AGCUAGUGAUGCUUUCGGCUACUGGACUCUAGCCAUCUUACACAUGCAAGUCGAACGGCAGCGCGGGGCAACCUGGCGGCGAGUGGCGAACGGGUGAGUAAUAUAUCGGAACAUACCCUAGAGUGGGGGAUAACGUAGCGAAAGUUACGCUAAUACCGCAUACGCACUAAGGUGGAAAGCGGGGGAUCGCAAGACCUCGUGCUCAUGGAGUGGCCGAUAUCUGAUUAGCUAGUUGGUAGGGUAAAAGCCUACCAAGGCGACGAUCAGUAGCUGGUYUGAGAGGAUGAUCAGCCACACUGGGACUGAGACACGGCCCAGACUCCUACGGGAGGCAGCAGUGGGGAAUAUUGGACAAUGGGCGCVAAGCCUGAUCCAGCCAUGCCGCGUGAGUGAUGAAGGCCCUAGGGUUGUAAAGCUCUUUUGUGCGGGAAGAUAAUGACGGUACCGCAAGAAUAAGCCCCGGCUAACUUCGUGCCAGCAGCCGCGGUAAUACGAAGGGGGCUAGCGUUGCUCGGAAUCACUGGGCGUAAAGGGUGCGUAGGCGGGUCUUUAAGUCAGGGGUGAAAUCCUGGAGCUCAACUCCAGAACUGCCUUUGAUACUGAAGAUCUUGAGUUCGGGAGAGGUGAGUGGAACUGCGAGUGUAGAGGUGAAAUUCGUAGAUAUUCGCAAGAACACCAGUGGCGAAGGCGGCUCACUGGCCCGAUACUGACGCUGAGGCACGAAAGCGUGGGGAGCAAACAGGAUUAGAUACCCUGGUAGUCCACGCCGUAAACKAUGARWGCYAGCCGUURGWRGGUUUACUCWYUCAGUGGCGCAGCUAACGCUUUAAGCAUUCCGCCUGGGGAGUACGGUCGCAAGAUUAAAACUCAAAGGAAUU
rnacentral:rRNA from 1 species